rnacentral:tRNA from 1 species
CGGGGCGUAGCGCAGCCUGGUAGCGUACUUGGCUGGGGGCCAAGUGGUCGGAGGUUCAAAUCCUCUCGCCCCGACCA